rnacentral:lncRNA from 1 species
UAGGUGGCAGAAAGCAUCUUGCUUGAUACAGCAAUUUGUUACUGUACAACGCGAAGCCUAUGGUGACAGGGAAGGACUAGCUCAAGAAAAGUCCUAAUAUCCUUGUUCGGGUGGCUUAGAACCUCAUGUGAUAAUGAAGUGUUUCCGAUUGAUCACUAUAGACCUGAUAGUAAGGUGGCUAUGUGAGAGCUGAUGAUAAACUCCACUGAUUUAAGGGGGGUGAGGAAGAGGAUCUCUACGUGUUUGGAGCCUGAUCCCUAUCCCACUCAAACCUGUCAUAAACAGCAGUGAAUAUGCUCUUUAAGAAGAAAAAGAAGAAGAAAACUGGGAUUACCAGCUACCAUGGCUUUCUGAAACAUCUCUGUACAUGUUAUUGGUGAUCUCCAUAAGUUAUGUGCUCUGUGGGAUAGUAUGAAAGCUGGUUAGGAAACCAUCUUGCAUUUGGUUAUUAAUCUGUGGCAUUGGUUUAGCCUUUGGAUAUGUAGAAAAGGGUUAGAAAUAAAGAGAUGAAUAAGUGAGAUAAAAUGAUAUGA